rnacentral:rRNA from 1 species
GAUGAACGCUAGCGAUAGGCUUAACACAUGCAAGUCGCGGGGCAGCACAAGGUAGCUUGCUAUCUGGGUGGCGACCGGCGCACGGGUGCGUAACGCGUAUGCAACUUGCCCUAUACAGGAGGAUAACCCGUCGAAAGACGGACUAAUACUGCGUAUGCUCACAACUUGGCAUCAAGUGGUGAGGAAAGAAAUUCGGUAUAGGAUAGGCAUGCGUCCCAUUAGCUUGUUGGUGAGGUAACGGCUCACCAAGGCAACGAUGGGUAGGGGAACUGAGAGGUUUAUCCCCCACACUGGUACUGAGACACGGACCAGACUCCUACGGGAGGCAGCAGUGAGGAAUAUUGGUCAAUGGGCGCGAGCCUGAACCAGCCAAGUCGCGUGAAGGAUGACUGUCUUAUGGAUUGUAAACUUCUUUUAGACGGGAAUAACAAGAGUCACGUGUGACUCCCUGCAUGUACCGUAUGAAUAAGCAUCGGCUAACUCCGUG